CAUCUUCCCCCACUCUAAUAUAUAUAGGCCGCUUUUUUAAUAGAUUUUGGUCUAGAAUAUUUAGUAGUGUUUUUGGCAAGGCAGAUUUAUACAAAUUUAUGAUGCUAGUGAAGAAUCCCCCUUACGUUAUUAAUGUAACUGCGCCGUAAACCAACUAUACCCCCUAUACUAUAUAUUUUGUUUACUUUAUUUUUUUACUGCAAAACAGAUAUUGCUAUUUUCGUCGUAAAAGUUAAGUAGACUAUAUUAAAAUGUCAAAAGGCGUUAUUUCAUAUUUUACAUUUUAGUGUUAUUUCUACUGCAAGGCAGUGCCGAGGGCGAUGAUUUUUGCCGAACCGAUGUUGGUCAUACAAUAAUCUGCGCAGAUUAUGUCGCUACGACGGGAUAUUGCUGCAAUUAUGUGGAUGGUUACUACCAGGACUGUUGCUACACUACUGCUGUUUGGGGUUUAUGGUACUUUUGGUUUUCCAUCGUUUCAUUUCUCUUUAUUGUUGGAGGAGUUGUAGCUCUUUGUAAAUAUUGUGUUUUCAAAAACAGCAGCUCAAGAAAUUCUUCAAUUGCGGAUACCGAGACAGCGGCUGUGCCUGUUGUGUAUUCCGCUCCGCAGAAUGCUCCUCCAGUACAAGCAAAUAUAUCAGACUUUCCACCAAGCUAUGAGCAACUACAGCAACAAGGAGUUGAUUCUCAAACGCAGCAGUUCAACUCUUACGGCUUAAAUAAUCCACCUUUUCCAACGGAAACAAUGAACUAAGAAAAAAAAGUCGCAUCAAAGCAAUUUUUAGACGCUUUUGAAAAAUGUUUUUUUUUAUGGGAAAAUUAUAACUUUUUAGUCCUCGAUUUUUCAGUUCUUUUUGAUAACUUUUCAGUUUCUCGAUUUCAGUGCUUUUCAAGUAAACAUUUACUGAGUACAUUUUUUUACCAUUUGAUUUUACCAAUUUUUGUAUUUGGGCGUAAAUAAUGAAAUUUAAAUGCAGUAUAAUUGUGUUUAUACAUGUUUUUAAAUAUACAAGUGUUUUUGCAAGUUUUGUCGUAUAAAAGAUGUUACUUGUUUAAAAUCCUACAUGGCAGUGCAACGGCAUUUGUAAUAAAAUAAGUUUUUUUGUUUUAUACACCUCGUGCCCGCUUACCAGUUACACAUAGUAGGGAGGGGGAAAAUGGGAAACCUUGGGAAA